AUUACCAAUAAAAUGUCAUGCCAAAAAGACGUAUGCGUAUACGACCUUGAAUUCGCGCCGCGCUCUUUCCACCCGCGCAGUCGCAGUGUUCAAUAGUCGGCCGUAUGGAGUGGACAGGCGGAACAUAGAAACGGACACAACAAUGAAUCGGACCAAAACUAUUCUUCGUUUAGCGCUACAUGAGACUCAAUCAAAUCAUGAAGAUUCACCAAUCGCUGUUGAAGAGCAGAUGGAGAUUUUGCAUUCUGUGCCUUCGUCACCUAUGGGAUCGCCUAUGACUUUUUCACAUACGGAGGUAAAAAGAGAAUCGCCACUUACAACAGAACAACGAGCGACAAUAGCCGAAAUGGAAAAUUUAGGCUUUAACGGUGAUGACUUUAAUGUUCCAAUAUUAUAUUCCAAUAAAUUACCAUUGUCAGUAUUUAGAACAAACAAGGAUUACGAACUACUAGAAUCAUCGGUUCCAUCAAUAGAAAAACAACUUACACCGCUGUUUACACCAGUAGCAUCCAUACACUCAAUAGGAAGCCCUAGCAUUAUAAAAACUUCUGAAAACCCACUUAACGAGAAUCUGCCAACUUUCAUUGAUGACAGCAAUGACUCUGUAGCAGACCCUAAUUACCAACCUGAAGACGAGGAAAUUCAGUGCUCGCCAAUGUCACCCAUUACGUCCUCAUCUUUAGUUCAAAUUAAACAAACAGUCAGCAUUACUAAUCCACAAGAAAUAGAAGAAUCGCCCACACUUGAAAGUAACCUUGAUGGAAUGGAAAAUUUAGGCUUUAACGGUGAUGACUUUAAUGUUCCAAUAUUAUAUUCCAAUAAAUCACCAUUGUCAGUAUUUAGGACAAACAAGGAUUACGAACUACUAGAAUCAUCGGUUCCAUCAAUAGAAAAACAACUUACACCGCUGUUUACACCAGUAGCAUCCAUACACUCAAUAAGAAGCCCUAGCAUUAUAGAAACUUCUGAAAACCCACAUAACGAGAAUCUGUCAACUUUCAUUGAUGACAGCGAUGACUCUGUAGCAGACCCUAAUUACCAACCUGAUGACGAGGAAAUUCAGUGCUCGCCAAUGUCACCCAUUACGUCCUCAUCUUUAGUUCAAAUUGAACAACCAGUCAGCAUUACUAAUCCACAAGAAAUAGAAGAAUCGCCCACACUUGAAAGUAACCUUGAUCGUCAAAAAGUGAAAAGAUGCAAAAGAAAAAUACCGGAAAAUUGGAAAAAAAACAUUAGAAAAACGAAGAAAAAUUGCGGUGAAACAUACAUAUCAAGUCAAGGAAAAAAUGUACCGGCAAAAAAGUGUGGCAAUGAAAAUUGUAAGUGUCAACGAGCUUGUCAUACAAAAAUUGAUAAUAGUACGAGAAAAAAUAUUCAUUUGUCAUUUUGGGGUUUGGGUAGUAUUGAAAGACAAAGGGAUUUUAUAGUAUCGAACGUGGUUUCAACUGAAGCAACAGGAUCACGUGUGACAAACUCGAGAAGGAAAUUCACUUUGAAUUACAGUUUCAAGAUUAAUUCGGAAACGGUAAAUGUGUGUCAACCUUUUUUUCUUCGUACACUGGAUAUCAGUGACAAGAUGGUCCGUACUGCUUUGAAGAAAGCGCGCCGAGGAGUGGGUAAUAUACCUUCCCCUGAUAAAAGAGGUCAUCACAUACCUUGCAACAAAUUUAGCGAAGACAACAUAAAGUUUGCUAAUGAUCACAUAGAUUCAUUUCCAAAAGUGCCUUCUCAUUGGUGCCGUAAAGAUACAAAAAAGAUUUAUUUGGAGACCAUUCUUAAUAAAGAAAAAAUGUACGAAUUAUAUAAGCAGCAAUGUUUGGAGAACCAUAAGAAACCCAUUGGAAAAACUUCGUAUAAAGAACUAAUUUUAAAUAAGAAUAUAGGUUUCCACAAACCAAGAAAGGACCAGUGUUGGUGUAACAAAUAUGAGCAAUUAACUGAAGAAGAACAAAAGGCGAAACAAGAAGAAUACGAAGAGCAUGUUAACAGAAAAUACUAUGCACAGGAAGAAAAAACAUCGGAUAAAAUUAAAGCAAUAGAAGAUAGCCGCUCACAUGUUUGUACUUUUGACUUUGAAGCAGUGCUAUAUUGUCCUUUGGUUUUAGGAAAACCUGUAUUUUAUAAACGGAAGUUAGGUAGCAUGAAUUUCACAAUUCACAAUGCAGCGACUAAACAAGGCUAUUGUUAUUUUUGGCCGGAAUAUGAAGGCAACCGUGGAUCAAACGAAGUAUCAACAUGUCUCUAUAAUUACAUCUCAAAUCUCUCCAAUGUUGAUCACCUGAUUUUAUUUUCUGACUGCUGUCCAGGCCAGAAUAGAAAUUCUGUGCUUGUUGCUAUGUUCAAUUAUAUCAUUACAUCACCUGACAAUGAGAUUAGAGUCAUUGACUAUAAAUUUCUUGAACCUGGUCACACCUACAUGGAGUGCGACAACAUGCACUCGACAAUUGAACGAGCUUCUGAGUAUGCCAAAAUCUACAUCCCUGAUGACUGGCAAAAUGUCAUACGACUAGCUCGUAAAGACAAUCCAUAUAAUGUUCAAGUUAUGGAACACACAGACUUUUUGGAUUUCAAAUCACUGCGAAGUACUAUUAUUCCAAAUACAAUGAAAGCCACUGAUGGAACUGUUUUGCAAUGGGCUAACGUAAGAUGGUUACGAUUUAAUAAAAACAUUCCCCAUUCGUUGUUUUUUAAAUAUGAUUACUGGGAAGAAUUCAAAGAGGUAAAAUUAAAGGAGAGAGUGACUAGAUCGGAACAUAAUUCGAAUCUUGCAAAACUGUACCCAGGACAAAUUUUGUUAAAACAAGCAAAACAUAAAGAUCUGAUGGAAAUGUGUCGAGAUGGGACGAUAACCAAGAAUCAUAACUACUACUAUGAAAAACUUCCUGUUCAGUCUGUAUCAGGAUCGUUGCCUCAGACUAGGCCUCGUCAAGAUGAUGACGAAUUGGAAUUAUCUGCAACACGAGCCUCAUAUUUAAGACGUCGGUCAGGGAAAAAGAAUUAAUCAGUUCAUUUGAUAAGAACCUACAUAGAUGUUUGAACUUAUUACUUUUGCUUGCUCAGUUGGAUCUAAAUAGAUUAAGUCGUUUGCCUGUACCUGCUCUAAAUUUAAAUGAGAUUGCAUGCAACUAAAUGGAAAGUACUUACUAUUCAUGUUUUUCAUCUUUAUAGAUAUUUUUAUAGAUGUAUUUUUUUUGUUUGUUUAUUUUGUUUCUAUUUAGGUAAACAUCUAUUUUUUAAUAGGUAACCAAGUUUAAUACUAUUCAUGUUUUUCAUCUUUAUAGAUAUUUUUAUAAUUAGCAGUUUUUUUAGUUUGUUUAUUUUGUUUCUAUGUAGGUAAACAACUUUUUUUCAACAGCUUUAAGAUCUCUGCAAUCGUGAAUGCUGAAUACGACCAAAGAAACAAUAAUUAUCUUUGUAGUACUAGAGUGUUAAUUAUACCUAUGCUAAGUUUUUCUUUUAAAAGUUUAAUGGUUCCAAGUUCCUUUUUAAAUAAUAAUAAUUUUAAAC